AUUGAACGCUGGCGGCAGGCCUAACACAUGCAAGUCGAACGAGUGGCGGACGGGUGAGUAAUGUCUGGGAAACUGCCCGAUGGAGGGGGAUAACUACUGGAAACGGUAGCUAAUACCGCAUACCAUCGGAUGUGCCCCGAUGGGAUUAGCUUGUAGGUGAGGUAACGGCUCAACUAGGCGACGAUCCCUAGCUGGUCUGAGAGGAUGACCAGCCAAACGGGAACUGAGACACGGUGCAGACUCCGACGGGAGGCAGCAGUGGGGAAUAUUGCACAAUGGGCGCAAGUCUGAUGCAGCCAGGCCGCGUGGAGGAAGAAGGCCUGUGGGUUGUAAAUUACUUUCAGCGGGGAGGCGUUACCCGCAGAAGAAGCACCGUCUAACUCCGUGCCAGCAGCCGCGGUAAUUC
rnacentral:rRNA from 1 species